rnacentral:rRNA from 1 species
GACGAACGCUGGCGGCGUGCCUAAUACAUGCAAGUAGAACGCUGAAGGAGGAGCUUGCUUCUCUGGAUGAGUUGCGAACGGGUGAGUAACGCGUAGGUAACCUGCCUGGUAGCGGGGGAUAACUAUUGGAAACGAUAGCUAAUACCGCAUAAUAGUAGAUGUUGCAUGACGUUUGCUUAAAAGGUGCAAUUGCAUCACUACCAGAUGGACCUGCGUUGUAUUAGCUAGUUGGUGAGGUAACGGCUCACCAAGGCGACGAUACAUAGCCGACCUGAGAGGGUGAUCGGCCACACUGGGACUGAGACACGGCCCAGACUCCUACGGGAGGCAGCAGUAGGGAAUCUUCGGCAAUGGACGGAAGUCUGACCGAGCAACGCCGCGUGAGUGAAGAAGGUUUUCGGAUCGUAAAGCUCUGUUGUAAGAGAAGAACGAGUGUGAGAGUGGAAAGUUCACACUGUGACGGUAUCUUACCAGAAAGGGACGGCUAACUACGUG